AGCAAAGCCCGCCUGCGUGGGCUA
rnacentral:other from 1 species